UACGUAGGGUCCGAGCGUUGUCCGGAAUUAUUGGGCGUAAAGAGCUCGUAGGCGGUGUGUCGCGUCGGCCGUGAAAACCUGCAGCUUAACUGUGGGCCUGCGAUCGAUACGGGCAGACUUGAGUUCGGUAGGGGAGACUGGAAUUCCUGGUGUAGCGGUGAAAUGCGCAGAUAUCAGGAGGAACACCGGUGGCGAAGGCGGGUCUCUGGGCCGAUACUGACGCUGAGGAGCGAAAGCGUGGGGAGCGAACAGG
rnacentral:rRNA from 1 species